rfam:Chlamydomonas reinhardtii strain CC-503 cw92 mt+ chloroplast, complete genome.
GGUCAAAUGAAUUAAGGCGUACGGUGGAGACCUAGGCACUCAGAGACGAAGAAGGGCGCAGAUACCGGCGAUACGCUUCGGGGAGCUGGCAACAAGCUUUGAUCCGAAGAUUCCCGAAUAGGGCAACCUCAUAGAACUACCUAUAUAAUUCAUAGUUAGGUAAGAGGCAACCCAGUGAACUGAAACAUCUAAGUAGCUGGAGGAAAAGAAAGCAAACGCGAUUCCCGUAGUAGCGGCGAGCGAACCGGGAACAGCCUAAACCUAUGUCGCAAGAUGUAGGGGUCGUGGGAGGACAACAUAAAAAUCGCUAUUUUUAAUACGAAGCAGCUGAAUCCUGCACCAUAGAUGGUGAAAGUCCAGUAGUAAAAAGAAAAUUUAGAUUUUUGUCUAAUCCCGAGUAGCAUGGGGCACGUGAAAUCCCGUGUGAAUCAGCGAGGACCACCUCGUAAGGCUAAAUACUCCUGAGUGACCGAUAGCGAAAUAGUACCACGAGGGAAAGGUGAAAAGAACCCCUGUUGGGGAGUGAAAUAGAACAUGAAACCGUAUGCUGACAAGCAGUGGGAGCAAGAAUGCUUGUGACCGCGUGCCUGUUGAAGAAUGAGCCGGCGACUUAUAGGGAGUGGCUGGGUUAAGGAGUAAAAUCCGGAGCCCAAGCGAAAGCGAGUCUGAAUAGGGCGCAAAUGGUCACUUCUUAUGGACCCGAACCCGGGUGAUCUAUUCAUGGCCAGGAUGAAGCUUGGGUAACACCAAGUGGAGGUCCGAACCGACCGAUGUUGAAAAAUCGGCGGAUGAGCUGUGAAUAGGGGAGAAAUUCCAAUCGAACUCGGAGCUAGCUGGAUCUCCCCGAAAUGCGUUGAGGCGCAGCGGUAACGAUGAACUGUCUUGGGGUAAAGCUACUGUUUCGAUGCGGGCUGCGAAAGCGGUACCAAGUCGUGGCAAACUCAGAAUACAAGACAUGUCUUCCGUAAACCAGUGAGACAGUGGGGGAUAAGCUUCAUUGUCAAGAGGGAAACAGCCCAGAUCACCAGCUAAGGCCCCUAAAUGGUCACUAAGUGGAAAAGGAUGUGAGAAUGCUGAAACAACCAGGAGGUUUGCUUAGAAGCAGCCACCCUUCAAAGAGUGCGUAAUAGCUCACUGGUAAAGCGUUCUUGCGCCGAUAAUGGCCGGGACUAAGUGACCUGCCGAAGCUGUGAUAUAAUUUAUUAUAUAAAUUAUAGGUAGGGGAGCGUUCCGCUCUCGGGUGAAGUUUUCACGUAAGUGGGGAUGGACGAAGCGGAAGUGAGAAUGUCGGCUUGAGUAACGAAAACAUUGGUGAGAAUCCAAUGCCCCGAAAACCUAAGGGUUCCUCCACUAGGUUCGUCCAUGGGGGGUUAGUCAGGACCUAAGACUAGGCCAAACGGCGUCGUCGAUGGAAAACAGGUUAAUAUUCCUGUACGAGUUAAAUUAUGAUCUGAGGGACGAAGGAGGCUAAGCUAGAACUGUUUUUGGAUUGCAGUGGAAGCGUUUAGACGUUGAGAGAUAGAAAAAAAGCUAUCUUGAGUGGAGACGUGAUCCCUAUUUGAUGGUUCGCCGUCGAGUAGCUAGUGAUGUCAUACUUCCAAGAAAAGCUCAUACAUCUUUAUAAUUUAAUGACCUGUACCUGAAACCGACACAGGUAGGUUGGUAGAGAAUACCAAGGGGCGCGAGAGAACUCUCUCUAAGGAACUCGGCAAACUGGCCCCGUAACUUCGGAAGAAGGGGCACCCAUCCGUAACAAGGUGGGUCGCAGUGACCAGGCCCAGGCGACUGUUUACCAAAAACACAGGUCUCCGCAAAGUCGUAAGACAAUAUAUGGGGGCUGACGCCUGCCCAGUGCCGGAAGGUUAAGGAAGUUGGUUAUUUCGUAAGAAAAAAGCUGACGACCGAAGCCCCGGUGAACGGCGGUCGUAACUAUAACGAUCCUAAGGUAGCGAAAUUCAUUGUCGAGUAAGUUUCGACCUGCACGAAAGGCGUAACGAUCUGGGCGCUGUCUCGGAGAGAGGCUCGGUGAAAUAGACUUGUCCCGUGAAGAUGCGGACUACCUACACCUGGACAGAAAGACCCUAUGAAGCUUGACUGUAUCUUGGAAUUGGGUUUGGGCUUUUCUUGCGCAGCCUAGGUGGGAGGCUAUGAAGAUUACCUUCCGGGGUAAUUAGAGCCGUCAUUGAGAGACCACUCUGGAAGAGCUAGAAUCCUAAUGGGGAUCCUUGAAUCAGGACCCUUGACAGUUUCAGGUGGGCAGUUUAUUUGGGGCGAAUGCCUCCUAAAAGGUAACGGAGGCGUGCAAAGGUUCCCUCAGUCUGGACGGAAAUCAGACAUUGAGUGUAAAGGCAAAAGGGAGCUUGACUGCAAGACCUACAAGUCGAGCAGGGGCGAAAGCCGGCCUUAGUGAUCCGACGGUGCCGCGUGGAAGGGCCGUCGCUCAACGGAUAAAAGUUACUCUAGGGAUAACAGGCUGAUCUUCCCCAAGAGUUCACAUCGACGGGAAGGUUUGGCACCUCGAUGUCGGCUCAUCACAUCCUCGGUCUGUAGUAGGUCCGAAGGGUUGGGCUGUUCGCCCAUUAAAGUGGUACGUGAGCUGGGUUCAAAACGUAAAUAACACUGCGUGUGCUUGCAGUAAUGUAAGCAAAGUAUCGGCUUAUAUCGGUGAAACCUUCCUAUUGUUUUAAGUACAAACUGUCGCAUAAACCACAUUCGUGGGCAAUAGAUGGCAACGCCGAGGGAAGACCAUUUCUUUUUGGUUUAAUAAUUCAAUAAAUUAAAUAAAACAUCUUAUGAAUACAAAAUAUAAUAAAGAGUUCUUACUCUACUUAGCAGGGUUUGUAGACGGUGACGGUAGCAUAAUCGCUCAAAUUAAGCCUAAUCAGUCUUAUAAAUUUAAGCAUCAGCUAUCACUCACGUUCCAAGUCACGCAAAAGACACAGAGACGUUGGUUUUUAGACAAAUUAGUGGAUGAAAUUGGGGUUGGUUAUGUAAGAGAUAGGGGUAGCGUUUCGGAUUAUAUUCUAAGCGAAAUCAAGCCUUUGCAUAAUUUUUUAACACAACUACAACCUUUUCUAAAACUAAAACAAAAACAAGCAAAUUUAGUUUUAAAAAUUAUUGAACAACUUCCGUCAGCAAAAGAAUCCCCGGACAAAUUCUUAGAAGUUUGUACAUGGGUGGAUCAAAUUGCAGCUCUGAAUGAUUCGAAGACGCGUAAAACAACUUCUGAAACCGUUCGUGCUGUGCUAGACAGUUUAAGUGAAAAAAAGAAAUCGUCCCCGUAGAGACUUUAUAAAUUUAGCCAAUCUCUAAAAGAAUGUUUACAUACAAUUUAUUUAUUGUUGCUCGAUUUAUAGGAUAUUUUCUCGAGAGUGGGAAAGUAUAAUACGCCGACUCCUGCCAUUAACAGUAGCAGGAUGAAGACAUAGUCCAUGCCUUUACGAAAGUAAAGGGGUUAGUUUUAAAGACCGCAAGUUUUAUUCGGCUUUAAAAUUUCAUGCGUGAGACAGUUUGGUCCAUAUCCGGUGUAGGCGUUAGAGCAUUGAGAGUAGCCUUUCAUAGUACGAGAGGACCUGAAAGGACAUGCCAAUUGUGUACCAGUUCUCAUUCCAAUGGGAAACGCUGGGUAGCUACGCAUGGAUAGAUAACUGCUGAAAGCAUCUAAGUAGGAAGCUAAACUCAAGAUGAGUGCUCUCUAAGGCCGCGGCUAGACAAGCCGUUAUAUAGGUAUCAGGUGUACAGUCAGCAAUGGCUUUAGCCGAGAUAUACUAAAGGCCGUUUGAUUUUGACCUU